AAGUUUCAAAGUGUCGCGUUGAAAUAACAACCUUUAAAAAGGCCAAUAUGAUAUAGUGUUUUUUUUUUUUUUUUUUUUUUUGUCGUCAGAUAUAGUGUUUAUCUCUUUCGACAAAUAUCGUGUGUACAUUUACUAUCCGAACAAAGCAUGCAUUGCACAUUGUAGAUAUUGGAAUCUACAAUAAAUUAGGUCUAAUCUUAUGAAACUAAAUACAAUGUUAU
rnacentral:lncRNA from 1 species